rnacentral:rRNA from 1 species
CCAACGACCGUACCGCAAACCGACACUGGUGCGCGAGAUGAGUAUUCUAAGGCGCUUGAGAGAGCUCAGGAGAAGGAACUCGGCAAAUUGACACCGUAACUUCGGAAGAAGGUGUGCCCUAUUAGUGUGUAGUGAACAACGAAGCAUGAAUGGGUUGCAAAAAAUCGGUGGCUGCGACUGUUUAUUAAAAACACAGCACUCUGCAAACACGAAAGUGGACGUAUAGGGUGUGACGCCUGCCCGGUGCUGGAAGAUUAAAUGAUGGGGUGCAAGCUCUUGAUUGAAGUCCCAGUAAACGGCGGCCGUAACGAUAACGGUCCUAAGGUAGCGAAAUUCCUUGUCGGGUAAGUUCCGACCUGCACGAAUGGCGUAACGAUGGCCACACUGUCUCCUCCUGAGACUCAGCGAAGUUGAAAUGUUUGUGAUGAUGCAAUCUCCCCGCGGAAAGACGGAAAGACCCCAUGAACCUUUACUGUAGCUUUGUAUUGGACUUUGAACAGAUCUGUGUAGGAUAGGUGGGAGGCUUUGAAGCAGGGUCGCUAGAUCUUGUGGAGCCAACGUUGAAAUACCACCCUGGUGUGUUUGAGGUUCUAACCUAGGUCCAUUAUCUGGAUCGGGGACAGUGCAUGGUAGGCAGUUUGACUGGGGCGGUCUCCUCCCAAAGCGUAACGGAGGAGUUCGAAGGUACGCUAGUUACGGUCGGACAUCGUGACGAUAGUGCAAUGGCAUAAGCGUGCUUAACUGCGAGACUGACAAGUCGAGCAGAUGCGAAAGCAGGACAUAGUGAUCCGGUGGUUCUGUAUGGAAGGGCCAUCGCUCAACGGAUAAAAGGUACUCUGGGGAUAACAGGCUGAUACCGCCCAAGAGUUCAUAUCGACGGCGGUGUUUGGCACCUCGAUGUCGGCUCAUCUCAUCCUGGGGCUGUAGCCGGUCCCAAGGGUAUGGCUGUUCGCCAUUUAAAGAGGUACGUGAGCUGGGUUUAAAACGUCGUGAGACAGUUUGGUCCCUAUCUUCCGUGGGCGCUGCAGAUUUGAGGAAGCCUGCUCCUAGUACGAGAGGACCGGAGUGGACACACCUCUGGUGUAUCGGUUGUCACGCCAGUGGCAUUGCCGAGUAGCUAAGUGUGGAAGAGAUAACCGCUGAAAGCAUCUAAGCGGGAAACUCGUUUCAAGAUGAGAUCUGCCGGGGCCUUGAGCCCCCUAAAGAGUCGUUCAAGACCAGGACGUUGAUAGGUCAGGUGUGGAAACAAA